CUCUCCNUCCUCUUCAUAGUAUUCCCCAAGCAAGCUCAUUGUCUUGUGGGUGCUACCGGUAUCCUGUAUUGCUUACCAAUGCAACGGAAUUUGACGGUUUGGAAGCCUACAUCCGCCCGGCACCCGUUAGGGGGUUGGGCGGACGACAGGUUGGCCUCGUGUUCCUGGCAUGCCUCGCCUUGUCGCUUGGCUGCCACGGCACACGGGGUUAUGCCCGUUCUCUCGGAUGCGGAUUGUUACGUGCGGGCUGGGGGUUGCCGCCUCCAUCCGUCCCCGUUAUGCAUUUGUCCCUCGAAACAAACGACAGCUGCGCUCGUCUUGGCUCGAGAGCUGCACGGCUCUACGAGGACCCAUGCGGGCGUCGGCGUCGUUAAGGAAUGC
rnacentral:misc_RNA from 1 species